AUGCAAGAGACCACCCGGUGGGGUCGCUGCAGCUUCCAGAGGGGCACCUUGCUCUGGUUCAUAGUCAUCACCAUCUCCUUUGGCUACUACACAUGGGUUGUCUUCUGGCCUCAGAGUAUCCCUUAACAGAGCCUUGGGCGCCUGGGUCCCUUCACAAAGUACUUGGUGGACCACUAUCACACCUUCCUAAGGAAUGGGUAUUGGCUUGCUUGGCUAAUUCAUGUGAGAGAGUCCUUGUAUGUCUUGAUUUUAUGCAAGCGUUAAGGAAUCAUAUACAGCCAGGCCCGGCUCCUCUGAUUCCUACUGACU
rnacentral:lncRNA from 1 species